AUUUAUGUAGCUAAUUAUUUAAAGCGUUGUGUUGAAGCCACAAAGAAAGUUGAAUAACUCGUAGAUA
rnacentral:tRNA from 1 species